GCUCGUAGGCGGUGUGUCACGUCUGCUGUGAAAAUCCAAGGCUCAACCUUGGACUUGCAGUGGGUACGGGCACACUCGAGUGCGGUAGGGGAGAUUGGAAUUCCUGGUGUAGCGGUGGAAUGCGCAGAUAUCAGGAGGAACACCGAUGGCGAAGGCAGAUCUCUGGGCCGUAACUGACGCUGAGGAGCGAAAGCGUGGGGAGCGAACAGGAUUAGAUACCCUGGUAGUCCACGCCGUAAACGGUGGGAACUAGAUGUGGGGUCCGUUCCACGGAUUCCGUGUCGCAGCUAACGCAUUAAGUUCCCCGCCUGGGGAGUACGGCCGCAAGGCUAAAACUCAAAGGAAUUGACGGGGGCCCGCACAAGCGGCGGAGCAUGCGGAUUAAUUCGAUGCAACGCGAAGAACCUUACCAAGGCUUGACAUAUAGAGGAAAAGUGCAGAGAUGCACUCCCCGCAAGGUCUCUAUACAGGUGGUGCAUGGUUGUCGUCAGCUCGUGUCGUGAGAUGUUGGGUUAAGUCCCGCAACGAGCGCAACCCUCGUCCUAUGUUGCCAGCACGUAAUGGUGGGAACUCAUGGGAUACUGCCGGGGUCAACUCGGAGGAAGGUGGGGAUGACGUCAAAUCAUCAUGCCCCUUAUGUCUUGGGCUUCACGCAUGCUACAAUGGCCGGUACAGAGGGCAGCAAUACCGCAAGGUGGAGCGAAUCCCAGAAAGCCGGUCUCAGUUCGGAUUGAGGUCUGCAACUCGACCUCAUGAAGUCGGAGUCGCUAGUAAUCGCGAAUCAGCAACGUCGCGGUGAAUACGUUCCCGGGCCUUGUACACACCGCCCGUCAAGUCAUGAAAGUCGGUAACACCCGAAGCCGGUGGCCCAACCCUUGUGGAGGGAGCCGUCGAAGGUGGG
rnacentral:rRNA from 1 species